rnacentral:rRNA from 1 species
AUUGAACGCUGGCGGCAGGCCUAACACAUGCAAGUCGAACGAGUGGCGGACGGGUGAGUAAUGUCUGGGACCCUGCCUGAUGGAGGGGGAUAACUACUGGAAACGGUAGCUAAUACCGCAUACCAUCAGAUGUGCCCAGAUGCGAUUCGCUUGUGUGUGGGGUAACGGAUCACCAAGGCGACGAUCCCUAGCUGGGGUGAGAGGAUGAACAGCCACACUUGAACGGAGACACGGUCCAGACUCCUACGGGACGCGGGAGUGGGGAAUAUUGCAUAAUGGGCGGAAGCCUGAUGCAGCCAUGCCGAGUGUAUGAAGGAGGCAUGCGGGUUGUAAAGUACUUUCAGCGGGGAGGCGGUACCCGAAGAAGAAGCACCGGCUAACUCCGUGCCAGCAGCCGCGGUAAUAC